rnacentral:rRNA from 1 species
CCUACGGGACGCACCAGUGGGGAAUAUUGCACAAUGGGCGCAAGCCUGAUGCAGCCAUGCCGCGUCUAUGAAGAAGGCCUUCGGGUUGUAAAGUACUUUCAGCGGGGAGGAAGGUGUUGUGGUUAAUAACCGCAGCAAUUGACGUUACCCGCAGAAGAUGCACCGGCUAACUCCGUGCCAGCAGCCGCGGUAAUACGGAGGGUGCAAGCGUUAAUCGGAAUUACUGGGCGUAAAGCGCACGCAGGCGGUCUGUCCAGUCGGAUGUGAAAUCCCCGGGCUCAACCUGGGAACUGCAUUCGAAACUGGCAGGCUAGAGUCUUGUAGAGGGGGGUAGAAUUCCAGGUGUAGCGGUGAAAUGCGUAGAGAUCUGGAGGAAUACCGGCGGUGAAGGCGGCCCCCUGGACAAAGACUGACGCUCAGGUGCCAAAGCGUGGGGAGCAAACAGGAUUAGAUACCCCCGUAGUC